ACCAAAGAUUUAUCGGUGUAAGAUGGACUUGCGUCUGAUUAGCUAGUUGGUGAGAUAAAAGCCCACCAAGGCGACGAUCAGUAGCCGGCUUGAGAGAGUGUACGGCCACAUUGGGACUGAGACACGGCCCAAACUCCUACGGGAGGCAGCAGUGGGGAAUUUUGCACAAUGGGGGAAACCCUGAUGCAGCGACGCCGCGUGAUUUAGAAGGCCUUCGGGUUGUAAAAAUCUUUUUUAUGGGAUGAAAAUGACAGUACCAUAAGAAUAAGGUCCGGCUAAAUACGUGCCAGCAGCCGCGGUAAUACGUAUGGACCGAGCGUUGUCCGGAAUCAUUGGGCGUAAAGGGUACGUAGGCGGCCUAGUAAGUUAGAAGUGAAAUAAUAUAGCUCAACUAUAUAAAGCUUUUAAAACUGUUAGGCUUGAGAGAUGAAAGGGAAAGUGGAAUUCCUAGUGUAGCGGUGAAAUGCGCAGAUAUUAGGAAGAAUACCGGUGGCGAAGGCGACUUUCUGGUCAUCAUCUGACGCUGAGGUACGAAAGCGUGGGUAGCAAACAGGAUUAGAUACCCUGGUAGUCCACGCUGUAAACGAUGAGUGUUAGGUUCUUGGAAUAAUCUGGGAGCCGCAGCUAACGCAUUAAACACUCCGCCUCUGUAUUACAGGUGGUGCAUGGUUGUCGUCAGCUCGUGUCGUGAGAUGUUGGGUUAAGUCCCAUAACGAGCGCAACCCCUAUCGUUAGUUACCAUCAUUAAGUUGGGGACUCUAGCGAUACUGCCGGUGAUAAACCGGAGGAAGGUGGGGACGACGUCAAAUCAUCAUGCCCUUUAUGACUUGGGCUACACACGUGCUACAAUGGCAGAUACAGAGGGCAGCGAAAGAGCGAUCUGAAGCGAAACUCACAAAGUCUGUCCCAGUUCGGAUUGUACUCUGCAACUCGAGUACAUGAAGUUGGAGUUGCUAGUAAUCGCGACAGUAACUGGGGUGAAGUCGUAACAAGGUAGCCGUAUCGGAAGGUGCGGCUGGAUCACCUCCUUU
rnacentral:rRNA from 1 species